rnacentral:rRNA from 1 species
GGCCUUGACAUACUAAGAACUUUCCAGAGAUGGAUUGGUGCCUUCGGGAACUUAGAUACAGGUGCUGCAUGGCUGUCGUCAGCUCGUGUCGUGAGAUGUUGGGUUAAGUCCCGNAACGAGCGCAACCCUUUUCCUUAUUUGCCAGCGGGUCAUGCCGGGAACUUUAAGGAUACUGCCAGUGACAAACUGGAGAAAGGCGGGGACGACGUCAAGUCAUCAUGGCCCUUACGGCCAGGGCUACACACGUGCUACAAUGGUCGGUACAAAGGGUUGCUACCUCGCGAGAGGAUGCUAAUCUCAAAAAGCCGAUCGUAGUCCGGAUCGCAGUCUGCAACUCGACUGCGUGAAGUCGGAAUCGCUAGUAAUCGCGGAUCAGAAUGCCGCGGUGAAUACGUUCCCGGGCCUUGUACACACCGCCCGUCACACCAUGGGAGUUUGUUGCACCAGAAGUAGGUAGUCUAACCGCAAGGAGGACGCUUACCACGGUGUGGCCGAUGACUGGGGUGAAGUCGUAACAAGGUAAGCGUAGAUGA